CUCUAGAUGGGAUCUGUAGAUUGAUGAAGGCUAUCUGGAGCUGUUAAGUUAUCCUGCAGUGCUCUGACUUUUGUCCUCACGUUCUUUCAGAUGCAGCCAGAUGGAAUCCGUGGCAGAGGGCCCCGUCCCGGGUGAGGGGGGUCCCGCGAGAAGGAACUAAAGCCAGAUACUAGCGGUCAAGGCGGUCCGCUUCUGUUACAACGAGACCACAUCCACAAGUGGCCAAUGGACCCCGGUUUUCACUUCUGUGGGAAUUGAUAUUGUGAAUUAAAUUUUUUUUGGAAUGUGUGGGUAUUUUGUGUUGUUUUUGAUAUAUUAUUGUUUUAAAUUAUAGGUGUCAUAUUUUGAGGUAACUUCUUUGUGGUUUCAGGUUUUUUUUUUGUUUGUUUAUUUUUUUGUAUGUAAUUAUUUUUCAUGGAUUUAUUUUUAAUGUCUUUUGUAAUUUGUAGUAUUGUAAUUUAAUUGUCAUUUGGGAUAAGAGUGUAUAAAUGUUAUUUUUUGUUUAUGUUAUGUGGAGGAAUUUUUGUAUUUACUGUUUGAAUUCUGUGAGGGAUAAGGUUAGAUGUGAAGAGGUAUACUUAACAAGGCAUUUAGAAAAUAGAUUUUUAGGAUUGGUGACCAAUAAACAUGGUGUGUUUGUA